UUUUUUAAACAAGACCGCCUACACUUUUGCAAUUGCACAUGCGUCACAGCACGUGACAUCAUGAUUGCCAACAUUUCAAUAUCUAAUACUAAUUCCAGAAUGCUCCCAAAAUGUUCAUAUAGGUUAUGUUAUAUCAACAGAAGUAACACUUUAACACGUCAACAAACGUUUCAUUUUCUAUUCAACGUAUAACAAUUAACCACACUCAACUUAGUAAAAUGAUAACUGACGUGCAGCUAGCAAUUUUCUCGAACAUCUUGGGAGUAACUCUCUUCUUUUUGGUUUUCCUUUAUCAUUACAUCAAUGCCAAUUACUCAAGAUGAGAAAAAAAGACAUGUUGUCUAUUUAACCAUCAAUAAAUUAUAAUAUACUCUAAUAAAGUAUGUAAGCUCCUACAAUAAAAGAUUUUUAAUUUUCA